GAUGAACGCUAGCUACGGGCUUAACACAUGCAAGUCGAGGGGCAGCGGGAUUGAAGCUUGCUUCAAUUGCCGGCGACCGGCGCACGGGUGAGUAACGCGUAUCCAACCUUCCGUACACUCAGGGAUAGCCUUUCGAAAGAAAGAUUAAUACCUGAUGGUAUGAUGAGAUUGCAUGAUAUCAUCAUUAAAGAUUUAUCGGUGUACGAUGGGGAUGCGUUCCAUUAGGUAGUAGGCGGGGUAACGGCCCACCUAGCCAACGAUGGAUAGGGGUUCUGAGAGGAAGGUCCCCCACAUUGGAACUGAGACACGGUCCAAACUCCUACGGGAGGCAGCAGUGAGGAAUAUUGGUCAAUGGACGAGAGUCUGAACCAGCCAAGUAGCGUGAAGGAUGAAGGUCCUACGGAUUGUAAACUUCUUUUAUAAGGGAAUAAACCCUCCCACGUGUGGGAGCUUGUAUGUACCUUAUGAAUAAGCAUCGGCUAACUCCGUG
rnacentral:rRNA from 1 species